rnacentral:tRNA from 1 species
GGUAAGAUGGUCGAGACGAAGGCGAUAGACUGUAAAUCUAUAUACGAGGAUAUUCCUCUUUUACC